rnacentral:rRNA from 1 species
UUUUGUAUAAUGGGUCAGCGACUUAUAUUCUGUAGCAAGGUUAACCGAAUAGGGGAGCCGAAGGGAAACCGAGUCUUAACUGGGCGUUAAGUUGCAGGGUAUAGACCCGAAACCCGGUGAUCUAGCCAUGGGCAGGUUGAAGGUUGGGUAACACUAACUGGAGGACCGAACCGACUAAUGUUGAAAAAUUAGCGGAUGACUUGUGGCUGGGGGUGAAAGGCCAAUCAAACCGGGAGAUAGCUGGUUCUCCCCGAAAGCUAUUUAGGUAGCGCCUCGUGAAUUCAUCUCCGGGGGUAGAGCACUGUUUCGGCAAGGGGGUCAUCCCGACUUACCAACCCGAUGCAAACUGCGAAUACCGGAGAAUGUUAUCACGGGAGACACACGGCGGGUGCUAACGUCCGUCGUGAAGAGGGAAACAACCCAGACCGCCAGCUAAGGUCCCAAAGUCAUGGUUAAGUGGGAAACGAUGUGGGAAGGCCCAGACAGCCAGGAUGUUGGCUUAGAAGCAGCCAUCAUUUAAAGAAAGCGUAAUAGCUCACUGGUCGAGUCGGCCUGCGCGGAAGAUGUAACGGGGCUAAACCAUGCACCGAAGCUGCGGCAGCGACACUGUGUGUUGUUGGGUAGGGGAGCGU